CACCACGCCCAGCUAAUUUUUUGUAUUUUUAGUAGAGACGGGGUUUCACCAUGUUAGCCAGGAUGGUCUCGAUCUCCUGACUUCGUGAUCCGCCCGCCUCAGCCUCCCAAAGUGCUGGGAUUACAGGCUUGAGCCACCGCGCCUGGCCGGGGUGCCCCCUCAGUUUUUAAAAGAGUAGGCAGAAAUACAAACCAGAAAGUGUGGGAGGAUCACUUGAGCCCAAUAGGUGGAGGCUGCAGUGAGCCAAGAUGGCACACCUGCACUCCAUUCCUUGUGGGCUGGGUGGAAAUUAGGAAGAGAAAUUAAUUCUAAGUGGAGCAAUGCAGCUAGGCUUAAUCAGAGAGGUAACACCUAAACGAAGCAGUGAAGUAAUAGCAAUGACGUGUUAUUUAUUGCAGCAUUGUUUGUAAUAGCAAAAUACUGGAAAUAAUCUACAUGUCCGGCAAAAGGACCAAUAAAUUAUGAUACAUAUAUACAGUAGAAUACGAUGCAUCCCUACAAAAGAAUGAGGAAUCAUUUUGUAUACUGAUGAAAUAAUCGCUAAGAAAUGCUGUUAGUUAAGUGAAAUAAAAAACAAGGUGCACAACAUACCACCAUUUAUGUGAAAAAAUAAAAAGCAUGCAUUUGCUUAUGUGUACUUGGAAUGAAUACCUCUGAGGGGAUCUAUUAGAAACCAUUAACAGCAGUUGCUGUUAAUAUGUCUCCCAUAUUUUUCUUUUUUGUUUUUUUUGUUUUUUUUUGAGACGGAGUCUUGCUCUAUCUCCCAGGCUGGAGUGCAGUGGCGAGAUCUUGGCUCACUGCAAGCUCCGCCUCCCAGGUUCACGCCAUUCUCCUGCCUCAGCCUCCCGAGUAGCUGGGACUACAGGCGCCUGCCACCACGCCUGGCUAGGUAUCCAGGCUUAUGGUGGCUUUGACCAAGGAGAGGAGAAGAACUUGCAGGCUUUUGAGAAAGAUGGGAGAUGAGGAGGUGGACAGAAAUUUCAAAGUUCGAUUGGGGGAUAUCCUGACAAAGCCACAAUCGGAGCCGCUUCUUCAUGAAGUCUCUGAUCUCCCCAAAUGGAUGUAAGCUUUCUCUCUGUGCAUCCCAUGGUGCUUGGUUCCGGCUUCUCAUGCCGUAUCCUGCUUUGUAGAACCAUCAUCAGAGAGUGUUAAAAGAGCUUCAACGAAUACCUUCUUUCAGGGCACCAGGCCUCACUGUUGUACAUAUGGUUUCACUUAAUCCUCCAAUACUCCUAGAGUUUUAUGUUCUUGUCAUUCUGCCUCCCUGUCAGUGGACAGUA
rnacentral:lncRNA from 1 species